GACGAACGCUGGCGGCGUGCCUAAUACAUGCAAGUCGAGCGGGCCUCCGGAGGUGCUUGCACCUCCGGAAGGCCAGCGGCGGACGGGUGAGUAACACGUGGGCAACCUGCCUUUGAGGCCGGGAUAACACCGGGAAACCGGUGCUAAUACCGGAUACGUCCUCUUUCGCGCCUGCGAGAGGGGAGAAAGACGGUCUUUAAGGCCGUCGCUCAAAGAGGGGCCCGCGGCGCAUUAGCUGGUUGGUGGGGCAAAGGCCUACCAAGGCGACGAUGCGUUGCCGACCUGAGAGGGUGAUCGGCCACACUGGGACUGAGACACGGCCCAGACUCGUACGGGAGGGAGCAGUGGGGAAUAUUGGACAAUGGGGGCAACCCUGAGCCAGCGACGCCGCGUGUGUGAAGAAGGCCUGCGGGUUGUAAAGCACUUUUAGUGGGGAUGAAAAGCACAUCGCUAAUACCGGUGUGUCUUGACCUAACCCAAAGAAAAAGCACCGGCUAACUCUGUGCCAGCCGCCGCCGUAAGAC
rnacentral:rRNA from 1 species